rnacentral:rRNA from 1 species
GGGCAGAACAAAGGGCAGCGAAGCCGCGAGGCUAAGCCAAUCCCACAAAUCUGUUCUCAGUUCGGAUCGCAGUCUGCAACUCGACUGCGUGAAGCUGGAAUCGCUAGUAAUCGCGGAUCAGCAUGCCGCGGUGAAUACGUUCCCGGGCCUUGUACACACCGCCCGUCACACCACGAGAGUUUGUAACACCCGAAGUCGGUGAGGUAACCUUUUGGAGCCAGCCGCCGAAGGUGGGACAGAUGAUUGGGGUGAAGUCGUAACAAGGUAGCCGUAUCGGAAGGUGCGGUUGGAU